AGUAAACCACCAUCCGGUGUCAGGCUGGACGACUUCCUGCAGGUGUGCAUUCAGCUGGGUUUUUAAGGAGGAUGCACCCAGUGACUGUAUGUUUUAUCUAAAUUAUUCCUCAUAACAACCCUGAGAUGAAGAUAAUUCGAUGACUUUUUGCAACAGAAGAAGGAACUGAAACCAUGAAUCCAUUGAGUCACUUGAAAACAUUGCUAGACAUGGAAAUUUUAUCCUGCCUUCCGAUUCAAACCAGCCUCCCCUAGCAGUGAAGCUGCUGGUCUU